CUCGUAGGCGGCCAACUAAGUCAGACGUGAAAUCCCUCGGCUUAACCGGGGAACUGCGUCUGAUACUGGAUGGCUUGAGUUUGGGAGAGGGAUGCGGAAUUCCAGGUGUAGCGGUGAAAUGCGUAGAUAUCUGGAGGAACACCGGUGGCGAAGGCGGCAUCCUGGACCAACACUGACGCUGAGGAGCGAAAGCCAGGGAGCAAACG
rnacentral:rRNA from 1 species